UGGCUGUUUGACCACAAGGUCCCAUGGUCAGCUGGCUGUUUGACCACAAGGUCCGAUGGUCAGCUGGGUGUUUGACCGCAAGGUCCAAUGGUCAGCUGUUUGACCACAAGGUCCCAUGGUCAGCUGGCUGUUUGACCGCAAGGUCCCAUGGUCAGCUGUCUGACCACAAGGUCCCAUGGUCAGCUGUUUGUCCACAAGGUCCCAUGGUAAGCUGUUUGACCACAAGGUCCCAUGGUCAGCUGGCUGUUUGACCACAAGGUCCCAUGGUCAGCUGUUUGACCACAAGGUCCCGUGGUCAGCUGUUUGACCACAAGGUCCCAGGGUCAGCUGUUUGACCACAAGAUCCCAUGGUCAUCUGACUGUUUGAGCACGAGGUCCCAUGGUCAGCUGUUUGACCACAAGGUCCCAUGGUCAGCUGUUUGACCACAAGGUCCCAUGGUCAGCUGUUUGAC